AUAUUCAAAAAUUGGGGUUCCUCUCGAAUUGUCACUGAUUAUUCUUCCCUGGUUGUCUUUGUUUUGCAGGAGAGAUAGAUAGAUAGAUAGAAUAGACGAAGCUCAUGGAAACUCUGGUUGUUUUGAGUCUGAGAGGUUGCUGCUGGAGAGGGAGGAACUUGGAAGCCAUGAUAUAGCAAACCCCCCUUAGAUCUAGCUACUUUCAGAUUUUGAAAAAAGGCACUUCACCGAUCAAAAAAAGGCACUUAGUUCACAAUUGGGUGCUGAUGUUAACCAUUAAGCACAUGGUAGACCACCACUCAGUUUUAUCGAAUUGAUAGGUGCACUGCUCAGUUUCGGAAAUUGAGCGGUGCAAUGGCAGGCCACCACUUCGUUCCGCAGAAUGAGUGUGCACUGCUCAGUCCCGGGUACUGAGCGGUGCAAUGGCAGGUCACCGUCAGUUCCUAAAACUGAGAGGUGCAAAGCUAUGUGUCUAAUGGAGAACGUCACACUUAAUGGAACUGAGCAGCUUCCAGACAAAUGAAACUAUUGGAAAACAGGUAAAUGAGCUUCUCUUUUCCUCAUUUUUUUAUUUGUUUAUUUAUUUGUCGGUUUUCUUUCUUAUUUUAUUGAAAUCGAUUUUGGAAGUUUGGUACACAGCAAGGCAGUGAUACUCCCUAUGUAGUUCAGCUACAGCUGCUGGAACAUAGCUAAGUCUGAUUCUUGGGUAACGUUUCAAUGAAAAUAGCGCUAUUUAGCUUUUGUUAUAUUGCUGACUUUGGUACUCUGCUAGUAUAUUUAGGUGCACAUUCUUAACACUCCCAAUGUAUACUUAAAUUGCCCUUAUAUUUCUAGAAUGCCUGAGUUUCUUUUUUGCUUGGUACAUGUCUAUCAUUUUGUUCAAGGUUUCUGCCCCUUCUUCCGAUGACUGUCAGGUCAGUACAUUUUUGCCUUAACAAAGAUAUUUGUUUCUAACUUGAGUGUUGCUUUUGUUUUUGUUUUUUGCAGGUCUUGCCUUUGCAUUCCUAACUCUAACUCUAUGUUUAUUAACACUUAUGAUCAUGUUUAUUAUGUUUUGCAUAAAAUUGUUUCUAACUUGAUCAUUGGAGUAUCUUUUUUGUUUUUUUUGCAGGUCUUGGCUUUGUAUUCCUAACUCUAACUCUACGUUUAUUAUGUUUUGCACAAAAUUGUUUCUAACUUGAGCCUUGGAGUGUCUUUAUUGUUUUUUUGCAGGUCUUGGCUUUGUAUUCCUAACUCUAACUCUAUGUUUAUUAUGUUUUGCAUAAAAUUGUUUCUAACUUGAGAGUUGGAUUAUGUUUAUUGUUUUUUUGCAGGUCUUGGCUUUGUAUUCCUAACUCUAACUCUAUAUUUAUUACGUAUUGCAUAAAAUUGUUUCUAACUUGAGUGUUGGAGUAUCUUUAUUGUUUAAUGCAGGUCUUGGUUUUGUAUUCCUAACUCUACCUUUAUUAUGUUUUGCAUAAAAUUGUUUCUAACUUGAGUGUUGGAGUAUCUUUAUUGUUUUUUGCAGGUCUUGGCUUUGUAUUCCUAACUCUAACUCUAUGUUUAUUAUGUUUUGCAUAAAAUUGUUUCUAACUUGAGCCUUGGAGUAUCUUUAUUGUUUUUUGCAGGUCUUGGCUUUGUAUUCCUAACUCUAACUCUAUGUUUAUUAACCCUUAACUCUACGUUUAUUAUGUUUUGCAUAAAACUGUUUCUAACUUGAGCGUCGGAGUAUCUUCCUUGUUUUUUUGCAGGUCUUGCCUUUGUAUUCCUAUGGCCAAUUCAAUUAGUAGAGUUGUUGAAAUGGAAUGCUGGUACCUCGCGGGGAACAUCAUCUGUUUGGCUUUUGAUCAGUUUGCCUCUAGGGUAUGUCUGACUUUAAAGGAUACAAAUGAAGACAGAUCAGUCCUGUGAAUCAUGUACUAAUGAGAUCCUCCUCUUCCCUGAAGGAGGCUGCAUUUUAACUCAAAAGGUCUUGUCUCUGUUUAUUGGGUGGCCACUCGCUAUGGAGAACUUGUAAUGUGGAAUGCCUGGUGCCUGGUAGAGAACGCCUGGCAUUUGACCAGUCUGUUGUCAAGGCUUAAUAUGCAAAAGACGUGCCAGGAGAUUUAGCAUGAUGUGAAAAGCGCAGGAUGUGAAAAGUGCAAUGAUGCGGUGAGACUUGGUAAGCCUGGUGGUCCGUUGAGAGAUAAAAAUGAACAAUUGGUGGUUCCAGAGGUUCUUUGCCUUGCGUAGUUUUUCCUGAUGAAGCUCCGAGCAACAUUGUGAGUAAGCAGGGUAGUGAAAGUAGAAACGAAUCUGAAGGCAAUGUCACUAAAGAGAUGCAAACUUAUUGGUAAAAUUGAGGAGGAUAUAUCCGCCACGAAUUCUGUUGUGGUUCACGCGAAGCUGACAUCAUGCCUUUCUGCUGCAAUCUCCUUGACUCCAUCAUCAAUAGUGAAUGAAAAUUAAAUGGAACAGUGGUUGUAAAUUCUGACUGAGGAUGAUGUUGUGCCCGAAGAUAUGGUCCAAAAUUGAUGUUGAGGUGCUUCUCAUGUGCUGGAGAAGGCAGGCCGAAUUUUAUGAAUAUGGACCGUUUUUGUAGAAGUUUUAGGAUGUUUUUGAACAACGCCAAGUUUAUUAUUACGUAGUUACUGUCAUUCUUUCUUUCUUGUAAAGAUGCGAAUAUAUGUAUGUUUUUUUUAGCAGUAAUGUUAAACAUUUUGCUUUGGAGAUUCAA